GCCGGGCGUGGUGGCGUGCGCCUGUAGUCCCAGCUACUCGGGAGGCUGAGACAGGAGAAUUGCUUGAACCCGGGAGGCAGAGGUUGUAGUGAGCCAAGAUCACGCCACUGCACCCCAGCCUGGGCAACAGAGCAAGACUCCGUCUCCA
rnacentral:SRP_RNA from 1 species